rnacentral:rRNA from 1 species
CGUGACUACCAANUGGCCCGGGUANCAAAGGAGGUUGCAAGNCCCGCCGAGGGGGAGCCAAUCUCAAAAAGCCGGUCUCAGUUCAGAUUGUAGGCUGCAACUCGCCUACAUGAAGGCGGAAUCGCUAGUAAUCCCGGAUCAGCAUGACCGGGGUGAAUACGUUCCCGGGCCUUGUACACANCCGCCCGUCACANCCAUCGAAAAGGUCAGUUGUACCCAGGAAGGUCACCUGCUGCCAANCCCUGANAAAGGGGANGGGCAGGGUGACUCGAAGGGUANUGAAUUGG